CCUACGGGUGGCAGCAGUAGGGAAUAUUGCACAAUGGGGGAAACCCUGAUGCAGCGACGCCGCGUGAGUGAAGAAGUAAUCCGUUAUGCAAAGCUCUAUCAGCAGGGAAGAAAUUGACGGUACCUGAGUAAGAAGCCCCGUCUAACUACGUGCCAGCAGCCGCGGUCAUACGUAGGGGGCAAGCGUUAUCCGGAUUUACUGGGUGGAAAGAGAGCGGAGACGGCAGUUCAAGUCUGGAGUGAAAGGCGGGGGCUCAACCCCCGGACUGCACUGGAUACUGGACGGCUGGAGUGCAGUAGAGGUAAGUGGAAGUCCUGGUGUAGCGGUGAAAUGCGUAGAUAUUAGGAGGAACACCAGUGGCGAAGGCGGCUUACUGGACUGUAACUGACGUUGAGGAUCGAAAGCGUGGGGAGCAAACAGGAUUAGAUACCCGUGUAGUC
rnacentral:rRNA from 1 species